GCAGAAGCUGGGGACAUACCACCAUGAGCGCGUUUGUUAUUGAGACAGACAGGGUGUGCUCACGUGGCUGGAGACAAGCUCUGCUUUGUGGAAGUUUACUCUUCUACUAUAACUUCCCUUCAGCUUGUUUAUUACAAAUACAGUGGCGCCAUCUGGUGGACACCCCCCUCCUCACUUCCACAUAAAAAGGUAAUCAGAAUGAAAAUGGGUUUGAACUGUGGACUCUUCUUUAAUGUAUAACCAACAGAAUGAGGAGAACAUGAGUUUAAUAUAUAAGACUUGAGAUUGAUAGAGAUUAUAGCAGAUUAAAUGAUUUUCUACAAUAAUGAGAAACAUGUGGAUGAUUUCAGAGUGUCAUCUAAAUAUUGUGUAUUUAAUUUAUCUGAAAUGAAGAGUUAUUGCCAGUGAAAUGAUUCAUGCAUUCAUCUGUCUUCUACCCCUUUGUCCUCCACAUGAGGGUCGUGGUUGGCGCUGGUGCUAAUCCCAGGU